rnacentral:rRNA from 1 species
UACGGAGGGUGCGAGCGUUAAUCGGAAUCACUGGGCGUAAAGCGCGCGUAGGCGGCCUUAUAAGUCAGGUGUGAAAGCCCUCGGCUCAACCGGGGAAUUGCACUUGAUACUGUAAAGCUUGAGUAUCGGAGAGGAUGGCGGAAUUCCAGGUGUAGGAGUGAAAUCCGUAGAUAUCUGGAGGAACACCAGUGGCGAAGGCGGCCAUCUGGACGAUAACUGACGCUGAGGUGCGAAAGCGUGGGGAGCAAACAGG